GACGAACGCUGGCGGCGUGCUUAACACAUGCAAGUCGAACGGAAAGGCCCUGCUUUUGUGGGGUGCUCGAGUGGCGAACGGGUGAGUAACACGUGAGUAACCUGCCCUUGACUUUGGGAUAACUUCAGGAAACUGGGGCUAAUACCGGAUAGGAGCUCCUGCUGCAUGGUGGGGGUUGGAAAGUUUCGGCGGUUGGGGAUGGACUCGCGGCUUAUCAGCUUGUUGGGGGGGUAGUGGCUUACCAAGGCUUUGACGGGUAGCCGGCCUGAGAGGGUGACCGGCCACAUUGGGACUGAGAUACGGCCCAGACUCCUCCGGGAGGCAGCAGUGGGGAAUAUUGCACAAUGGGCGGAAGCCUGAUGCAGCAACGCCGCGUGCGGGAUGACGGCCUUCGGGUUGUAAACCGCUUUCGCCUGUGACGAAGCGUGAGUGACGGUAAUGGGUAAAGAAGCACCGGCUAACUACGUG
rnacentral:rRNA from 1 species